GCCUCCUUAGCUCAGUGGUAGAGCACUCGCCUUGUAAGCGAGCGGUCGUCAGUUCAAUCCUGACAGGAGGCUCAA
rnacentral:tRNA from 2 species